GAUAAUUCACCAAAAUAUUAUAUUGCACUUGUAGCCUGUGAUAAUUAAUGAUGUGUGUUUCGAUAGGCCAAGGAAUAGAAUAUGCUACUGUGUAAGAAAAGAAACAAAAGCAGAUGGUGACCAUCAAACUAGAUAGUAAUACUACAAGAAGGCAGUGUGGCUAGACUACCUUUCCUUUUCGGUUCACUGUCUUUAGAUUUGAUAGGAUUACAGAAUCAUGAGCAUAUGAGAUAUGUGUUUAUAAAGCUUAAACAGAUGGAUUCUUUAACUACAGCCUCUAGUAAGCUUCAAGCACACUGAUUGAAUAGCCAUACCAGACGAUGGUGACGGAGUUUGUGAUGUGGGUUUUUUCUUGUAGCUUGAGUAGCGUUGCCAUUAUUUGAAAAGAAUCGUUCAUAAUUAGCAAGAAGAUCUUCCAGUCUUGUUGAAAAAGCAGUCAAGAUCAACAUCAUUGUCUAUGGAAAGUAAUCUACCUAACCUAUAUGAUUGGUUUAGGAAGAACAGAAUCUCCAGGGCAGGGCACCUUAUCAUCGCUUUAAAGCAACUAUGCAUCCCUUUCUUACAGAAUAAUCAUGUUUAGCUUUAAGAACCAUUAUAAAUUCCUGCAAUCAAUCAUUCAAAUGAGCAUCAGCCAGCAACUAACCUUCAACUUAUCACUUUCUUUCCGUCUCUUUUCUUUUCCUCUUGAAAUUAAUUACUUCAUCCUUGAUAUUGGGUCAGGAUUGGGUAAUCUGCAUCCUGAGGUUUGGAUCACCACAUGUUUUGAUCUAGUCCUUGGGUUGCAGAUUACCUCUUCCUCACUGACAAUGUAGAGCUUUCCGUUCGCACCUGGCUACUGGCUACACUUAAACCUUGCUCUUGCUCUUCAGGUCUUUGAUCCUGCUGGCAAAUUACACAUUUUACUUAUGGUUCCACUCUCUUAAGAUAGUUCAGGUAUGGCCAUACUGGAAAAUAAUGAUUUCACAGCCACCCCUGAAACUGAGGUCUGUUUUCUAAUGCCCUGGCAAAGAAGCAUAAGAGAAAAAGGAGCGAGUUCUCUAUAAUUUAGAUUUCUGGUUCUUGCAAAAUUGAACAUUCCUGUCAUAUUCCAAGUUCCUAUCUAGAAGUUUUCAACCUCUUGAAGCAGAUGGAGGUUUUCUGUAAGACAUGGCAAGAAACUAUAUGAAUCUAGGUGUCACUUUUCUGGAAUUGCUGCAGCACUCCAAUAGCUUCCUCCUUGCUUUCACUGAAGUCCCCGCCAUCUUUGAAGAUUAAAAACUCCAUCAUCUCCACCCGGAAGAAAAUGAAACUUCCACUCAAGUGUGUAAUGCAACAGCCGAAGUCCUUUCCAACCACACAGUGCCAUGCUGGUCCAUAAACAUCAUCAAAUUUCUGUUUAGCAGUUACAAACGUUGUUAGCUUGAACAUUACAACAAUAGCUUCAUUAAGAAAAAUCUUCAACACCAUCAUUCUUUGAUGUCCACCAACAUCGAUGCUGGUUGAUCAUGUUAAUAGAUAGUGGGAUAAAUAACACUUCCAAUGUGAACUAGUGGCGUUCGGAGAGGUAAUUCAGACGUGAGAAACAUUAAUCCGUGGUGUUGCACCAUGAUUGUUGUCUGUGAUUUUUUGAGAAAGAAAAAACGUGUGUGUGAGAGAGAGAGAGCGUGAAAACCUCUUUGUUUCAUGCCCCACUUGGUAGUUGGCAUAUCCAAAUUCAAUACAUCAAAUUGAGCAUUAUUCGCCUA